CCUACGGGAGGCAGCAGUCGGGAAUCUUGCGCAAUGGGCGAAAGCCUGACGCAGCAACACCGUGUGGGCGACGAAGGCCUUCGGGUCGUAAAGCCCUGUUGUUGGGGACGAAGGGCGAAGGGUUAAUAGCCCCUAGCUUGACGGUACCCUUCGAGGAAGCCCCGGCUAACUACGUGCCAGCAGCCGCGGUAAUACGUAGGGGGCGAGCGUUGUCCGGAAUUAUUGGGCGUAAAGAGCGUGUAGGCGGUUUGGUAAGUCUGCCGUGAAAACCCGGGGCUCAACCCCGGUCGUGCGGUGGAUACUGCCAGGCUAGAGGAUGGUAGAGGCGAGUGGAAUUCCCGGUGUAGCGGUGAAAUGCGCAGAUAUCGGGAGGAACACCAGUAGCGAAGGCGGCUCGCUGGGCCAUUCCUGACGCUGAGACGCGAAAGCUAGGGGAGCGAACAGGAUUAGAUACCCUGGUAGUCCUAGCCGUAAACGAUGAACACUAGGUGUGGGGGGAGUCGAAUCCCUCUGUGCCGCAGCCAACGCGUUAAGUGUUCCGCCUGGGGAGUACGGCCGCAAGGCUAAAACUCAAAAGAAUUGACGGGGGCCCGCACAAGCAGCGGAGCAUGUUCUUUAAUUCGAUGCAACGCGAAGAACCUUACCUGGGCUUGACAUGGUGCUGCAAGCGCACGGAGACGUGUGACCUUCGAGGGUGCACCACAGAUGCUGCAUGGCUGUCGUCAGCUCGUGUCGUGAGAUGUUGGGUUAAGUCCCGCAACGAGCGCAACCCCCGUGGCGUGUUGCCAGCAUUAAGUUGGGGACUCACGCCAGACUGCCGGUGACAAACCGGAGGAAGGUGGGGAUGAUGUCAAGUCUCAUGGCUCUUACGCUCAGGGCUAGAAAACGUGCUACAAUGGCGCAUACAAAGGGCAGCAAGACCGCAGGUGGAGCGAAUCUCAUCAAAUGCGUCUAAGUUCGGAAUCGGGG
rnacentral:rRNA from 1 species